AUGGAUUAAAAGUAUCGUAGAAAAGCAUUGUUUUCCCAACCCAGCCAUAGAACAAGUCACUUGUCGGAGUUUGAAAAAUGCUUUUCGCUACUUUAAUCUUGAGUGUGUUUUUUAUCGUUACUGAAAGCGAAACCGAUCAGAACUCUCUUGAAUUUCAAAGAGCAAAUGGAAUCAACGCUACAAUAGAUGGCUACCUGCCCCGGUGUCCAUGGUGUGUGGUGUUUGGGAGGGAUCCACUGAUAGUCUAUGGCAAGUUUCAUCUACCAAAGGACAAAUGGCACAUAAUAACGCACAAACGACCUCAACCAACCUUUGAAGUCUCAUUUUGCAAUUCCGG